CCUACGGGGUGCAGCAGUAGGGAAUCUUCCACAAUGGACGAAAGUCUGAUGGAGCAACGCCGCGUGAGUGAUGAAGGUUUUCGGAUCGUAAAACUCUGCUGUAAGGGAAGAACAAGUACGUUAGGAAAUGAACGUACCUUGACGGUACCUUAUUAGAAAGCCACGGCUAACUACGUGCCAGCAGCCGCGGUAAUACGUAGGUGGCAAGCGUUGUCCGGAUUUAUUGGGCGUAAAGCGUGCGCAGGUGGUUUCUUAAGUCUGAUGUGAAAUCUCGCGGCUCAACCGCGAGCGGUCAUUGGAAACUGGGGAACUUGAGUGCAGAAGAGGAUAGUGGAAUUCCAAGUGUAGCGGUGAAAUGCGUAGAGAUUUGGAGGAACACCAGUGGCGAAGGCGACUGUCUGGUCUGUAACUGACACUGAGGCGCGAAAGCGUGGGGAGCAAACAGGAUUAGAUACCCGUGUAGUC
rnacentral:rRNA from 1 species